rnacentral:rRNA from 2 species
UGCAGUCGAGCGGACCGACGGGAGCUUGCUCCCUUAGGUCAGCGGCGGACGGGUGAGUAACACGUGGGUAACCUGCCUGUAAGACUGGGAUAACUCCGGGAAACCGGGGCUAAUACCGGAUGCUUGAUUGAACCGCAUGGUUCAAUCAUAAAAGGUGGCUUUUAGCUACCACUUGCAGAUGGACCCGCGGCGCAUUAGCUAGUUGGUGAGGUAACGGCUCACCAAGGCGACGAUGCGUAGCCGACCUGAGAGGGUGAUCGGCCACACUGGGACUGAAACACGGCCCAGACUCCUACGGGAGGCAGCAGUAGGGAAUCUUCCGCAAUGGACGAAAGUCUGACGGAACAACGCCGCGUGAGUGAUGAAGGUUUUCGGAUCGUAAAACUCUGUUGUUAGGGAAGAACAAGUACCGUUCGAAUAGGGCGGUACCUUGACGGUACCUAACCAGAAAGCCACGGCUAACUACGUGCCAGCAGCCGCGGUAAUACGUAGGUGGCAAGCGUUGUCCGGAAUUAUUGGGCGUAAAGCGCGCGCAGGCGGUUUCUUAAGUCUGAUGUGAAAGCCCCCGGCUCAACCGGGGAGGGUCAUUGGAAACUGGGGAACUUGAGUGCAGAAGAGGAGAGUGGAAUUCCACGUGUAGCGGUGAAAUGCGUAGAGAUGUGGAGGAACACCAGUGGCGAAGGCGACUCUCUGGUCUGUAACUGACGCUGAGGCGCGAAAGCGUGGGGAGCGAACAGGAUUAGAUACCCUGGUAGUCCACGCCGUAAACGAUGAGUGCUAAGUGUUAGAGGGUUUCCGCCCUUUAGUGCUGCAGCAAACGCAUUAAGCACUCCGCCUGGGGAGUACGGUCGCAAGACUGAAACUCAAAGGAAUUGACGGGGGCCCGCACAAGCGGUGGAGCAUGUGGUUUAAUUCGAAGCAACGCGAAGAACCUUACCAGGUCUUGACAUCCUCUGACAACCCUAGAGAUAGGGCUUCCCCUUCGGGGGCAGAGUGACAGGUGGUGCAUGGUUGUCGUCAGCUCGUGUCGUGAGAUGUUGGGUUAAGUCCCGCAACGAGCGCAACCCUUGAUCUUAGUUGCCAGCAUUCAGUUGGGCACUCUAAGGUGACUGCCGGUGACAAACCGGAGGAAGGUGGGGAUGACGUCAAAUCAUCAUGCCCCUUAUGACCUGGGCUACACA